rnacentral:lncRNA from 1 species
UUUUUUUUUUUUUUUUUUUUUUUUAGUAGCAUCACACCAGGGAUUGAACCCACGAUAUCCCGCUGGGUCAGGGGACUCAAAAUGACAGCAGGGAGGGAGGCAGUGACUCAGAGACCAUAGUCCUCUGCUGCAUUUCCCUUUCGUGGUGCCACUGGUUUCCAUUUGCAAGGCUAUUUCACUCGGGUUAGGAUGUAUUGUCUGGGCCCACUCACUGACCAGGUGGGCCCAGUGGAGGUCUCCUGUCCUUGCUUGUGGGGUGAAGGGGUGGAGUGAUGGAUAGCCUUUCCUCACGCCUUCAGCCCAGAGCCUCUCCUCGGGCGUGGCAACAGUCUUGUGAUCCAGUGUACUCUCCUUAACUCCCCUAGGCUUCGAGGCAUGGAGGACCCUUACAUACAUUAAUAGUUAAGGCUUUUAUAACUACUGGGCCAAUCUUCUUGUCAGACAAUAUGGCCUUGACCCUGCUGCUCUGGGGAGACGCUGAAUUAUUCCGGACAUUUGGGAUGAAUGCCGCAGGCAACAAAUGAGAGAGGUAACAGGCAAAAGCACACAGCAGUGUGACGGAUCCUGGCAACUGGUGUUCCUUUCCUGGAUUGUUACUCGCUUGGGUUCUCAGUAAACCAGUCGUAGCUAAAAGGCUUUCCUCUUAUUUAAGUGCAAGAGCAAUCAAGGAAUCUUGCCGACUCUGCCAAUUAUUUUGGUCUCAGCCUAUCGGUGGUGUGGCUAUCAGCUAGAAACGCCUGGGGGAGCUCACCUGGGCCCAGUGAACUCACCCCCAGACAUCUCCCUUUUCUGAACCAAUGUGGCUGGACCAGCCCUUCUUCCAAUUGCAAGACUCCUUCAGUAAUAACUAUUGGGUUAUUACUGGAAAUUGUGUGUGUGUGUGUGUGUGUGAGAGAGAGAGAGAAAGGACACUGAGGUUUAGUAUUCACAGGUUCUGGAGAGGACAUGACCUGUGCCAGAGCCUACGUGAAGUUGGAGAGGAUUAUCAGUGAGUAGGCCUGGGGUUGAGGGGGGCCUAGUGUUUUGAGUUCACUCUUCAUUGGUGGAUUUAAGGGCAGGAAUUAAAAUGCAGGCAGGGAAAAACAAGCCAA